UGGAAGCAGUCUCAGAGAUAAGUCCCAUUGAUUUCGGUGGAACACAUCAAGAUGUUAAGAAGAAUUAAACUAUAAUGUUCUACCUUUCGAGGAGAGAUGUUGGAAAGAACGAGAAAGAGAUUAUGCUAAAGCAAAUGCUGGCCAGUCCAAAGCAAGAUUAACUAUAGGCAUUAGCAAACUGAAAAAGGAAAAGCAAUUUAACAUAAUCCUUUUUGAAAUUAUAAAUGAAAGAAGGAUGAUCCCUUCUUUGCUAUCUUCUGUUCUAUUUCAUCUGUUAUCUCCCUUUCUUAUUUUCAUUUUAUUUUGACAGUAAGCUCAGUGGACAACAUCAACAGCUGAGCUGUUUCUCCAUUCUGGAGGGCAGAAGAACCAAGAGAAGGAAGGCACUUUGCAAGAUUCACAGGCUAUAUGUUUGAGACUAUUGAUUUCUUUGUCUCCUCACCAUAACGACUGAAUCUAUUCUCCCACUUUUAAAAGCCAACAACAGAAUGACACUUCGGAGAUAAAAUGGGUACCACAAGCAUAUGUUCUGACAAGAUAAUACUUCCGAAGUUUCUGUUUUCUCCUGGACAACAUAUGGACACUUGUUAUUGAUUUGCCAAAGCCUUCUUCUUGAUGAAAACGGCAAAAAGGAAUGGCUCACCCAAGUACAAAUGGCUCUGUCUGAAGGUCUGGAGUGGCAUUUUAGGAGCACUAGUGGAUUGGGAGGUAGCUAAAAAGCCAAGCUAUUGACUGAGUAAGCCCUAUAUGGAUUGGGACCUGGCUGCCUGAAAUACUGUCUUCUUCCAUACAAGCCUGCCUGGUUCUUGAGAUGCUCUGGAGAAGCCUUUUCUUCACGAUUGUUUCCUUCAGAGGCAUGUCCGGUGGUGACCCAAGAAAGGGGUUCUUCAGUGGCCCUUUUCAGGCUGUGGAACUCCUUGCCAAGGGAGGCUGUGUUCAACCCCUCUCUGCUGCCUUUCCACUGGCUGGCAAAGACACUUUACUCAAGAAGGCCUUCGGCUGUGUUUAUGUUGGCAUGGAAUUUGGACUGGAUCGCCCUUGAAUUGGAGGACUGUCUUCUGGAAAUCUUACAGCUAGAGUCUGCCCUCUGAAAAUUAGGACACAGGGCCACCCUAGAAGCAAUAGAGGAAGAGAUAAAUGGAGUUCUGCAGUGUUUCCUUCUACUUUCAAGAAAGGAUGUGCAUCUCCUUAUUCUCUGUGCAGAAAUAAACAAGAAUAUUUCUUUAAACAUC